rnacentral:rRNA from 1 species
GACGAACGCUGGCGGCGUGCUUAACACAUGCAAGUCGAACGAAGUGGCGAACGGGUGAAUAAUACGUGGGUAACCUGCCCUCCUUUUUGGGAUAAGCCUUGGAAACGGGGUCUAAUACCGAAUAAAGGGGGAUGGGCUCGGGGCCUAUCCGCUUGUUGGGGGGGUGAUGGCCUACCAAGGCGGUGACGGGUAGCCGGGCCGAGAGGGGGAUCGGCAACUUGGGGACGGGGCUACGUCCUAGACGAGUACGGGGGGGUGCAGCUGGGGGUAUUGCAGAAUGGGGGACAGCCUGAUGCAGCGACGCCGCGUGGGUGAUGAAGGCUUUAGGGUUGUAAACCUCUGUCGCUAUCGAACGGGUAGCUGGAGAAGAAGCGCCGGCUAACUACGUGCCAGCCGCCGCGGUAAUUC